rnacentral:piRNA from 1 species
UACACACUCAAAUGUGUCUGAGCUCCAACA